CUCUAGCAUGUACAUGGAACCUAGAGAUUACAUAGAAUCUAGAUACCCAUAGCUACUUUAUGAAGUAUCAUAAAGGCUAGUUGACUAAGUGAAUAAAAUAUGAAUUGCAGCUAUGUUAUAUUAACACUUCCUAGACAAUUUCUAUCUUUUUCCACACUGUCUUUGGCAAUAUGAUAGAGGCUGUCAACUAGUCUUCAAGGAUAGAUCAAGCACACAGUUUGUGUUCUGUAGAGUAUGAUUUCAAAUAUGCAGAGACACACCCUCAUCUAUCUCUAUACCUGUCCCCCUUAAAAUGGUAAUAUGAUAUGGGGGUGGGAGCAUGAUUCCUGGAACGAGCCUACCUGAGUUCAAAUCCUGAUGUUACCACUUGCCAGCGUGUGAUUUCAGGCAAGUCAUAACACCUUUGUGCUUCAGUUUUCUCAUCUCUAAAAUGGAGAUAAUUAUUGUACCUAAAUUGCUAGAGUCAUUGAAAGAUUAAAAGGAUUAAGUAUACAAAAAUAUUUGAUCAUUAAGUACUAUAUAUAGUGUUUGUUAUCAAUAUUUUUAUAGAACAGUAAUAAGUUCAUAAUGCUAACCAUAAGGCACUAAAAUAGCCAGUUAGCUCCAAAAGAUUAAAGGAGGAUAAAGAGAUGGUUAAACUGGAAGAAGCUAUUACUUGACCCACAUUUGGACUGUGUUGUAUUCUAUUUUUUUGUUGUAUUUGAUUUCCUUAAAAUCAAACUUUCAGGUGGCAUUUUUAUUAAUUAAAUUUGAUUAAGCUAAAAGCUCUCUUAUUCAAACAUUAGGAUAAAUCUCUGUUUCAUAUAUCUAGUCUUUUUGAAUAGUUUAUGACAGAUGACUAAUUAGACAUUAAAUUAUAAAUUUUAGCUACCUCUCAGGUACUGAGUAAUAGAAUCAAAAGAUACAAAUAAAGCAUAUACAUUAAACAAGUUUUGUGCUGAAUGAGGAUAAUGAAUAAGUUUGUUGUAGAGAUAGAAAUGUAAUAUUACCAACCUAUCUUCCAUAUCGGUGCUGCUUCUACUGUACCCUUGUAUCUAAUCCAAAGAUAAAAUUAAAUUCCAUUUGCAUGCUUAAAAUAUCUCUUAAAUGUAGUAUACUCUGAAGAAGCAUAUACUUUAUAUAACAAAAUUAAUAAUUUUAAUAUGCAUAUUUUGCUUAAUAGGUUUUUAAUUUUAAGGGUUUUUUUGUUGUUUUGUUUGCUUUUUAGGGCUGCAUCUGAGGCAUAUAUAAGUUCCCUGGCUAGGGGUCACAUUGGAACUACAGCUGCCAGCCUGCACCACAGCCACAGCAACGCAGGAUCUGAGCUGUGUCUCUGAACUACAGCACCACUCAUGGCAAUGCCAGAUCCUUAACCCACUGGGUGAGGCCAGGGAUUGAACCUAAAUCCUCAUGGAUACUAUAUGGUCUUGUUACCAUUGAGCCACAACAGGACCUUCCUUUAAUUUUAUUUUUUUAAAGAGAUUUUUUCCCCAAAGGCUAUAAAUAAAAAGGAGGAAAAAAAACAGGCUUCAGAUGGAAGAGUGCAUGGCACAAUAUUGAACACAACAGAAAAGAGGCAGUGGGAAUUGAUUACUUUACAAUAUGGGUGCCAAGAAGGUCAUUUUCCCUCAAAUGUCAGGUACAAAAUCAGUGAGCCUAUACUAUGACUAGACAAGACUUGCUUGAUAGAUAGAUUGAUAGACUUUAGUAGAUAGAUAGACAGACACUCAAUCUCUAAUAACAUUUGACUUUUUUAAGUUUAGUCUUCUUCCACCCUCAACAGAGCCUCCAUCCAGAAGUAAAGGAAAAUAUUCUCUUAGGCUAAGAAAGAGUUGUUAAGAGCAGUUAUCAAGUUGAUAGACUUUUAUGCCCAUUUAACAAAUGCAGUUGCUCUCCUAGGUUAGUAUAUCCACAAAAUUCAUGUCCACCCAAAACCUAUGAAAUGUGACCUUAUUUGGAAAUAGAAUCUUUGUAGAUGUAUCUAAGGUAAAAUGAAGUCAUACCUGGAUUAGAGUGGGCCUCUAAAUCCAAAAUGAUUGGUGCCCUUGUAAGAAGAGGGAUGUUUGGACACAUGAGCAGCCUAAGGCACAUAGUUUAAACAAGCCAUAUGGAGUAAAUAAGAAUGCAGAGAAUCCAUGAUAUAAAUGCCAUCCACCUUAGUUCCAAAGUUGUGCCUCAGUACGCUAUACUGCUCGCAAGAUGUGGGAGCAUUUGUAAAGAAUAGUUGACCAGCCAGAGGAUAAAGUCUAUUAGAAUUUAUGAAAAUUAUGACUUAUGUCUUUUUUAGUGAAAGGAGUGUAGUUGAUUUAUAUUUGAAUGAUGGUAUGUAUGUGACAAAGUCUACUUAUUAGAAAAAAUAUUGACUAAAAUAUUGUGGCUAAUUUUGUUCCCCCACAGUCUGAGAUUAUUGAGACAAUCCACAAUAACUAAAAUGGACAACCAUGAAACUAACAGUAAAUUUUUAUUUUAAGAUUUAAUUGCUAGAAGAUUAAUCUUUUCUUAACUGCACAAACAAUAAUUCCAUCCUCUCACUAAGAAGAAUAGUGGGUCAUCACAUUGGUGUUUUAUUCUGUUCAGAAACCAUUGGAAUUCAACCUGUGCAAGAAUCUGGCUUGGUUCAAAAAAUAAAAUGAAUUGAAUUUGAAAAAUUCUGCUCUGUCUGAAAAGAGUGGGAUAACUACUCUCUUAACUUGAAAUCCACAGAAGCUAAUCCUAGGACAAGGAUUCAAGUGUAAGUAAACCAUUUGGCUGGGGAAUCCCAGUAACCAUCAUUAGGGGACUGAGGACAUAAGCUGGUAGGAAUAGUAAUUAACAAAAGGUAGAUUACUAGGCCAGUGACCUCUGAGGUCACCAGAACUUAAGCCAUUAAGGAAUUCUGCAAGACAGUAAAGAACACACCUCAGUAUAAUCCAUCUAUUCUGAGGUAUUUAUUCACCAAAUCUUUGUCAGUCAGGACAAAAAGAAAAUCCUCCUGCAGAGUAUCACAAGUGUUUAUAGAAAGCAACUUUCAGCCUGGACUACCAUCAUUAAAGUUAGAAAUCACUGGAAUUGUCUGUUUUUAUAUAGUGAACGGCUCAUCACAACCUGAAAACAGAGGAUAAACAAAGGAAAACUCUUAUCCCUGUACACUGUGUCAUUAAGUCCAAUGACAACUGUACCUAUUUUAUUGUAAUUAGUAAAAUAUUUCUCUACUUAGCAGGCAAGUAGAUUUACAUUAUAGUCUUUCAAUGAAUUAAUGUUUAUUCUAGGGAGGUGUUUGAGAUUGUGUGUUUUUGAUCCAUUUGAAUUAUCAGAAAUAAUGUAGAGACGUAAUUUUUAGAUUUUGGAAUGCCAUAUCCUAUUCUCAUCCCUCAACUCUUCAAUCUUGCUGGUAUUGCUUUAAGCUGAAUAACUCAGAAUUUGGAAUAUAUACUACUACUGGAUUAUGGGAUGCACAGAUUUCCUGAGAUUAAGGGGUGAAUAGUUUCCAGACUCAUACCAACCUAUGUAAAUAGAAAAUUGAGUUGCCACCAAGAGAGGUGGAGAUGUUUUGGGGGGAAGUUUGAAGGAUGGAUUUUUAAAGAGGAAGGAGGAGUAACCAAGAAUCAAGAUAUAACCACAAGGGAACUUCCUGUAAAUGAUUUAAUACUCAAGUGGUUUUUCUUGGAUUAUAGAUAGAGCCCUAUUUGGUAUACAGUCUUAAAUCACCUGAAUCCCUUUGUAGUUUCUUCUGUUGACCUGAAAUCUUUCAAUAAAGGUUGAUAUACCAUAUAGACUUCUGUCCCAAUUGUGGGAAGUAUACACCAUCCUGUAUUUAUUUCACCACAAGGAAUGGCAUGAGAACUCAUCUCUUUGUGAAUGGGAGACUUUAGUCCAAGAGUUUCAGUUCAGGACUAUGAACAAAAGGAGGGGCAGCCCAUGGAGUCCUGGGACCAAGGGGAGAAAUAUAUGAUAGCCUAAGUGACUCAGGGUAGCUAUGAAACAAAUCCACAUUUUUCCCUAAAUAUACCAGAAAAUGGAAUGAAAGAGCUUGAUACUUGUCUUAUAAUUAGCUGGCAAGAACAACAGCUAGCAAUCAUGACCAACUCAAAAUUCAGUAAUGAUGAUGCCCAGCUAAGUAAGCUUGCCUUCAUUGCUAAGCUUUGCAUGAGAGCUGUCUCUAUAAUUGAAUACUCAAUUAGAGCUUAGGAAACUCUAGUACAGCAUUAAUUUUGCUUUAUAAAUGUUAACUUUAAGAAUAUUUAAUUAUUCCCUUUGUACUUACCUCAGAAAAUAUUCUUUAUACACACAUAAAAAUUAAUUCCUAUAGAAUAGUGUGUCAUUUUCUUGGAUGAUCUUGAGAAAGCAUUAGCUUUAUGUGAUAACUUCUCAAUCAGGCAACAACAUGGAGAUGUGAUCAGGUUUGACAAGUACUACUAUAAGUUGAGACUCACUUCUUAUAACCAACAUCUUCUUAAAAAUGGAAAGGAAGCACAGGGUAUGGGAUGUGGUAUGAAAAGAAAUACUUUAAAGUAUUAACAUAUUUGGAAGCCAUGGAUCCUACAGAAAUAUACAUCUUAUACUGUAGGAUAGGAGAAGUAAAUAUAAUCAUUGGGAAUAUGAAUUGUAACAGAGUAGUAAGUAGUAUUUCUUAACUAUCACUAUAUAUUACUAUAUAUUAUGUAGAAUUACUUGGAUAUAAUAAAAAUGGGAAUAUAACAAAGGAAGUUGAACUCUAUACAGAAAAGCCAGAUCAGUUAGAAAUGAAGAUGAAGUAGAAUUAUAUGUCAAGAAGCUAUAACUCAAAGUUGCUUUAUUACUUUUUAUGUUUAUGAAAGUAAAUAUCAUUCUUGCAAACAAAAACACAACAAAUGGAACAUCCAAAAAUUAGAACAAAGAGAAUAAAGAUACCACUAAUUUAUCAUCACAUAUUUAUUUAUGUUCUAUAAAAAGAUAUGUACAGUUACAUAGACCUCCCUAUGGGAAGAAGAAAACAUAACAGAAAAACAUUUUCAG
rnacentral:lncRNA from 1 species